UACGUAGGGUGCGAGCGUUGUCCGGAAUUACUGGGCGUAAAGAGCUCGUAGGUGGUUUGUCACGUCGUCUGUGAAAUUCCGGGGCUUAACCUCGGGCGUGCAGGCGAUACGGGCAAUACUUGAGUGCUGUAGGGAAGACAGAAUUCCUGGUGUAGCGGUGGAAUGCGCAGAGAUCAGGAGGAAUACCGAAGGCGAAGGCAGUCUUCCAAGCCGUUAUUGACGCUCAACUGCGAAGGUGUGGGUAUCAAACAGGAUUAGAUACCCUGGUA
rnacentral:rRNA from 1 species